UACAGAGGGUGCAAGCGUUGUUCGGAAUUACUGGGCGUAAAGGGCGUGUAGGCGGUUUAGCAAGUCAGAUGUGAAAUCCCGGGGCUUAACUCCGGAAGUGCAUUUGAAACUGCUAGGCUAGAGUAUUGUAGAGGUUGGCGGAAUACCCAGUGGAGAGGUGAAAUUCGUAGAUAUUGGGUGGAACACCGGUGGCGAAGGCGGCCAACUGGGCAAUUACUGACGCUGAGGCGCGAGAGCGUGGGGAGCAAACAGG
rnacentral:rRNA from 1 species